CUUUACAGUCUGCAAUGAUUGACGAGGUCAAACAGGACUCACUUGCAUUGCUGGGUCUCUGUGGCGACAGGGAGGACUUGGAGAUCAAAGAAACUCUAGUAACGUGGAAAUUCAUUCUCUGAGUAGUGACAAGCCAGUGACUUUUUCUAUAGAAAGGGUAUCAGACUCCAAUUUGAAAAUCUCAAGCAGCUUUAUAUUCAAGCAAGUUCAAUCCAAUCUCUUCCUGACUCACUGUCUCAUCAACAUGCAAAGCUCUCGAAGAGAAAUCAUCUCUUACUUGCCUGAGGGAGUUCUGGCAGACGUUUUGAAUGUGGAUGUGGAAGUUCUUUCCUCGUCUCCAUCCUGUCAAGAGCCGUGGAGCAAACAGCAGGAUGAGGAAGACAUGGAAGACAAAACUGAUAACGCACGUCACCUCGCUGCGGCGGGAGACGGAAUGUAACUUCAAUUCAGCCUCUUUGGGGUUUGGGUUCUGACCAAGUAAAUCGGGAAUGUUGUUAACAAAUCAA
rnacentral:lncRNA from 1 species